rnacentral:rRNA from 1 species
GAUGAACGCUGGCGGCGUGCCUAAUACAUGCAAGUCGAGCGAACAGAUGAGGAGCUUGCUCCUCUGACGUUAGCGGCGGACGGGUGAGUAACACGUGGAUAACCUACCUAUAAGACUGGGAUAACUACGGGAAACCGGAGCUAAUACCGGAUAAUAUAUUGAACCGCAUGGUUCAAUAGUGAAAGACGGUUUUGCUGUCACUUAUAGAUGGAUCCGCGCCGCAUUAGCUAGUUGGUAAGGUAACGGCUUACCAAGGCAACGAUGCGUAGCCGACCUGAGAGGGUGAUCGGCCACACUGGAACUGAGACACGGUCCAGACUCCUACGGGAGGCAGCAGUAGGGAAUCUUCCGCAAUGGGCGAAAGCCUGACGGAGCAACGCCGCGUGAGUGAUGAAGGUCUUCGGAUCGUAAAACUCUGUUAUUAGGGAAGAACAAAUGUGGAAGUAACUAUGCACGUCUUGACGGUACCUAAUCAGAAAGCCACGGCUAACUACGUG